UACGAAGGGGGCUAGCGUUGCUCGGAGUCACUGGGCGUAAAGCGCACGUAGGCGGCUUUUUAAGUCAGGGGUGAAAUCCUGGAGCUCAACUCCAGAACUGCCCUUGAUACUGGCGACCUUGAGUUCGGGAGAGGUGAGUGGAACUGCGAGUGUAGAGGUGAAAUUCGUAGAUAUUCGCAAGAACACCAGUGGCGAAGGCGGCUCACUGGCCCGAUACUGACGCUGAGGUGCGAAAGCGUGGGGAGCAAACAGG
rnacentral:rRNA from 1 species